ACUGUGAAUCAGUUCAGUUCGAAAAUUAAAUACAAAAAUUUAGGUUCUCAAAAAUGCGAGCCAAAUGGCGAAAGAAGCGAAUGCGUCGACUAAAGCGCAAGCGCCGCAAGAUGCGCGCAAGAUCCAAAUAGGCAGAAGGACAUACGCAGUACAUUGAAUAGAAAAAGUUCACAUUUUUGGUUUCCCAAAAAACAAUUUCGUUACACCCGUUGAUAAAUUUUUAAAUUCUCAAGAUAUUUUAAGGCAUCAGAGUGUUUAUAUAAGCAAUAAUCCAGUUAAUUACUGAAAAUAAAGCAAUAAUCCAAAAAAUAA